AGGACGAACGCUGGCGGCGUGCUUAACACAUGCAAGUCGAGCGAGGCCCUUCCUUCGGGAAGGUGCCCUAGCGGCGAACGGGUGAGUAACACGUGGGCAACCUGCCCCUAGCACUGGGAUAACUCCGGGAAAACCGGGGCUAAUACCGGAUAUGACCUUUGAGGGCAUCCUCGAAGGUGUAAAGGAUUCUGGCUAGGGAUGGGCCCGCGGCCUAUCAGCUUGUUGGUGGGUAACGCCUACCAAGGCGACGACGGGUA
rnacentral:rRNA from 1 species